rnacentral:tRNA from 1 species
UCCCUGAUAGUCCAGUGGUAAAUAAUCCACAUUCCAAUGUAGGGGACAUGGGUUCAAUUCCUAUUCAGGGAA